UUGCUUGUNCUCAAAGAUUAAGCCAUGCAUGUGUAAGUACACACCUUCCUUUUGGCGAAACCGCAAACGGCUCAUUAAAUCAGUCAUAAUUUAUUGGAUGGUGUCUAUCCAGUACUCGGAUAACCGUGGCAAUUCUAGAGCUAAUACGUGCAACUGAGCUCCGACCCCGGGGCGCUUAACGGCGUUUCGGGGGAAGGGCGCAAUUAUUGGAAUCAUAAACCGAGCGGGCUCUCGAGUCCGUCCCAAAAAUCGGUAAUGAUGACUCUGGAUAACUUUGCCGAGCGAUUAGGCCUUCGAGCCGUCGCUGCAUCUUUCGAGUGACUGCCUUAUCAGCUUUCGAUUGUAGGCUAUACGCUUACGAUGGCUGUAACGGGUAACGGGGAAUCAGGGUUCGAUUCCGGAGAGGGAGCCUGAGAAACGGCUACCACAUCUAAGGAAGGCAGCAGGCACGCAAAUUACCCACUCCUGGCACGGGGAGGUAGUGACGAUAAAUAACGAUGCGGGACUCUUCCGAGGCCUCGCAAUCGGAAUGAGUUUACUCUAAAAACUUGGACGAGGAUCCAUUGGAGGGCAAGUCUGGUGCCAGCAGCCGCGGUAAUUCCAGCUCCAAUAGCGUAUAUUAAAGUUGUUUGCGGUUAANNNNNNNNNNAGUGCUCAAAGCAGGCAAAAAUCUUCGCCUGAAUUAUGAUGCANGGAAUGAUGGAACAGGACCUCGGUUCUGCAUCUUUUCUCUCGGUUUUUCCGGAACCCGAGGUAAUGAUUAAAGGGAACGGACGGGGGCAUUAGUAUUGCGACGCUAGAGGUGAAAUUCUUGGACCGUCGCAAGACUAACUACUGCGAAAGCAUUUGCCAAGAACGCUUUCAUUAAUCAAGAACGAAAGUUAGAGGAUCGAAGGCGAUCAGAUACCGCCCUAGUUCUAACCUUAAACGAUGCUGACUAGCGAUCCGCUUAAGUCAUUCCCACGACUGAGCGGGCCGCCCCCGGGAAACCGAAGUUUUUGGGUUCCGGGGGAAGUAUGGUUGCAAAGCUGAAACUUAAAGGAAUUGACGGAAGGGCACCACCAGGAGUGGAGCCUGCGGCUUAAUUUGACUCAACACGGGAAACCUCACCAGGCCCAGACACCGGAAGGAUUGACAGAUUGAGAGCUCUUUCUCGAUUCGGUGGAUGGUGGUGCAUGGCCGUUCUUAGUUGGUGGAGCGAUCUGUCUGGUUGAUUCCGAUAACGAACGAGACUCUACCCUACUAACUAGUCGGUGGAUCGUUUCCCGAGACGGGUUCCCUUCCGGGGCGGUUUCGGCGCGGGWWUUGGUGGCGUUCCUCUCAUGUMAUAGUUCACUCUCRMUMCUCACUUCUUCCUUCCCACGCGUUCGGCAGGCGUCCGCGCCGUCGGCGAUGUCGUUCUUUUCUCUUUCGGGGGGGAAGGACGCUCRUCUUCGGCGUUAGGACGGCUUCGUCGSGUGGGUUSAGUGGUUGUGGCGGCGCGGUUUGGGCUCGGUAUUGAUGUGCGUCACUCACCCGCGUUCRCUGUAUUCAUCCMGWGUACGGGCCCAACCGAGGGGCGUCCAUCGUAACGUCUUCUUAGAGGGRUCGGCGGCGUCUAGUCGCACGAGAGAGAGCAAUAACAGGUCUUGUGAUGCA
rnacentral:rRNA from 1 species